GAUGAAGAACGCAGCAAAAUGCGAUAAGUAAUGUGAAUUGCAGAAUUCAGUGAAUCAUCGAAUCUUUGAACGCACAUUGCGCCCGCUGGUAUUCCGGCGGGCAUGCCUGUUCGAGCGUCAUUUCAACCCUCAAGCCCCCGGGUUUGGUGUUGGGGAUCGGCUCUGCCCUUCUGGGCGGUGCCGCCCCCGAAAUACAUUGGCGGUCUCGCUGCAGCCUCCAUUGCGUAGUAGCUAACACCUCGCAACUGGAACGCGGCGCGGCCAUGCCGUAAAACCACAACUUCUGAAUGUUGACCUCGGAUCAGGUAGGAAUACCCGCUGAACUUAAGCAUAUCAAUAAGCGGAGGA
rnacentral:misc_RNA from 1 species